GAUGAACGCUGGCGGCGUGCCUAAUACAUGCAAGUCGAGCGAACGGACGAGAAGCUUGCUUCUCUGAUGUUAGCGGCGGACGGGUGAGUAACACGUGGAUAACCUACCUAUAAGACUGGGAUAACUUCGGGAAACCGGAGCUAAUACCGGAUAAUAUUUUGAACCGCAUGGUUCAAAAGUGAAAGACGGUCUUGCUGUCACUUAUAGAUGGAUCCGCGCUGCAUUAGCUAGUUGGUAAGGUAACGGCUUACCAAGGCAACGAUGCAUAGCCGACCUGAGAGGGUGAUCGGCCACACUGGAGCUGAGACACGGUCCAGACUCCUACGGGAGGCAGCAGUAGGGAAUCUUCCGUAAUGGGCGAAAGCCUGACGGAGCAACGCCGCGUGAGUGAUGAAGGUCUUCGGAUCGUAAAACUCUGUUAUUAGGGAAGAACAUAUGUGUAAGUAACUGUGCACAUCUUGACGGUACCUAAUCAGAAAGCCACGGCUAACUACGUG
rnacentral:rRNA from 1 species